UAGCGCCCUACAGAGGGUUUGACAAGUUUAACCAAGGUAGGAUUUGUCAUGAAUGCAAACUAAAAUACUUACUUGGAAUAAUUGACUCAAACUGCGACUCUAGAAGUUUUCUUUGACCAGAAGCACUAUCGCCCGAGUAUUGAACCUUCAUUCAAGAAGCAGAAUGAACAUCCAAAAGGAUUUGGUACAGCAAAGCACGCUGUCAUCAUAGGAAUUGAUGGAUUCGGCGGAGAGUAUCUGAGAAAUGUUUCGGGACAACUUCCAGCUAUUCAGACGUUUUUCGACUACGGUGCCUUCUCAACCAAAGCUAGAAAUAUUGCACCCACUACGUGGAUACUUAUGACGUGCUGAAAGAGAUUCCGCGGAGGAACACCAAUAUGAAAGCAUGCCUCGUCAAAGGAGAUCAAGUCAAAUU